rnacentral:piRNA from 1 species
UGGAUGAGGUGCUACACAAAUGAAAGAUGGU